rnacentral:lncRNA from 1 species
UCUCACAACCCUUCAAACACUCAGAUGUAAUGCCGCCAUGGGCCAUCGUCCGCCACCUGCCAGAAAUCGCCUAUGGCGGCGGGCGGCAGUGAAUCAUGCCCAAAUUUACACCAGAACAUCUCCUUACCCCCAUAUUUCCAAAUCCCCAUUCCCCUUCCAUCAAAUCCGUCCUGAGUUGCUCAAAUUUUAGAUCAAAACUCCAAACCAUAGCGUCGCCCUUGUUUUCUCUGGUGGCGGCGCCACCAGCAAUCAACCCCAUACUAACACCAGUUGACCACCAGGCCUCCCUCAUCCCAAAUCCAUACUCCACUUCUCUAUAAUUACACCGGAAAUCCUUAAAUAUAGGAUCAAAGUUAAACCCUAAUUCCCAAAAGCCACUGAUUCAAGUUCGUUUUGAUGUUUUGGGGCCUAUUUUGAUGUUUUAUGUUUUCUUAAUAAGAACACAUGAUUAAUAUCAUAGUUGGCGGAAAAAUCCAAGAUGUUGAAGAUUCUGACUUUAGUGUUCAAGUCUUAGUAGGUAUUUUACUUUCUUCUUUUUGGUUCAAUCAAUCUUUCAUUCUUCUUUUAUUUUUAUUCUCGCCUGGAUUUAUUUUUCAUUAUUUUAGUUUUCCAGAAUUUUUGUUUUGUUUUGUUUGUUUGUUUUGUUUUUUUGUUUGUUCAUGCAUGACUAGUCCUACAUUUUGUAGUAUAAAUAGCCUAUGAAUUAGCUGAGUUUACCCAGUUAGUUAGUCUUGUUAACAAAUAUGUUUAGUUUUGAUUUUAAUGGUCGCCAUGCUUGCAUACUUCUGGUAAUUCGAUUUUUCAAUCGGGCCAAUUGUUUGUUUAAGUGUUAUGAUCUCUGACCCAUUUAGGAAAAGAAGGGUCAGCCCGAUUGGUUAAAGGCCCGUGUCUGAUUUGCCUUGGGUCAGUCUGACCCGAUUUGGUCUUCAAGGCAAUUUUUAGAAGUUUUAAUGGGUAAUUUAGGUAGUUCAAGUUAGGGAAUCUUUUCAUAACAGAUUUAGAAGCUUCUAGUGGGAGUUUUAAUUUGAAUUUUAGGUUUUUGGUAGUAUAACUUGAGUAAAAAGUCAGGAUAUUAAGGAUCUUGAAGCUAAAAAUAGAAAUUAAAAAGGGACUAAAAAGGUAGAAUAAAAUAUGCAAGUUGCUGUACUUUCUUGCAUAUAAAAAAAUCCUUUCCUUGCUGCUGAAGGCAUAUUUUGGAAGAUCUAAUAAAACCCUUGAAAACAAAGAUGGCUAUACUAUGAAUUCCUAGCAUUUUUUUGGUUAAAAUCCACCACAUUGCAGCUGGAUUCGGUUUUCUAAUCCUGAGUGUUUAGAUGAAAUUCCUUAAAGGUUCCAUAGUUGAGUCACCUGGUUUAAAAUGAUUUGAGUUCUGGUCCAUCAGGGUCUGGCUUUCAAUUUGUGGUUCUAUUGUUCCAUUACUGAUUUAAGGGAUGGUUCUGAAUUAUUUGGGUCGUGGUUAUUGAAAUUUUGGUGUGGGUUGCUGUUACAUUGUUGAUUCAUGCUGCUGUUGCUUUCUUCUUGUUGCACUCCAGACCUCUGAUCUCUUUUGGUUUCAUCCAGGUACGCUUUUGCAUUCUACUUUAUGUGAAGAUUUAUUUGAGGAAUGAGGAAUGGAAAUUCUACAGUUCAAAACAUGUUUUCAGCUUUCUGCUAUGAGUUUAGCAUUGUCCCUUUCUUUUUUGAUAUUUUACAGCUUUAGUUCAUUUUACUUAUAAUUAACUUAUGAUUUGGGUUAAUGCAAUUUGUUUUCUUGUAUUUAAUUUGGGGUUGUGAGAUGAAGAUUUAGUCAAAAGCAUCGUUUUUCCGUUUUCUUUAGUUUAGGAUGUACAUCGCAGUUUUAUAUUGCUUGAUAAUGAUUUCAUGUAGAGUCGGUCCUUAUAGCAUGCGUAGGCUGGUGACUAAGUAAAUGAUGUGUAGUUUAUUGUGAGG